rnacentral:rRNA from 1 species
CUACGUAGGUGGCAAGCGUUAUCCGGAAUUAUUGGGCGUAAAGAGGGAGCAGGCGGCAGCAAGGGUCUGUGGUGAAAGCCUGAAGCUUAACUUCAGUAAGCCAUAGAAACCAGGCAGCUAGAGUGCAGGAGAGGAUCGUGGAAUUCCAUGUGUAGCGGUGAAAUGCGUAGAUAUAUGGAGGAACACCAGUGGCGAAGGCGACGAUCUGGCCUGCAACUGACGCUCAGUCCCGAAAGCGUGGGGAGCAAAGAGGAUUAGAUACCCUAGUAGUCCACGCCGUAAACGAUGAGUACUAAGUGUUGGAUGUCAAAGUUCAGUGCUGCAGUUAACGCAAUAAGUACUCCGCCUGAGUAGUACGUUCGCAAGAAUGAAACUCAAAUGAAUUGACGGGG